UUAGGACUACUGCCUUCUUUUUCAACAGAUGAUGGACUACCAGGAGAACUUUUCUUGACCUAUUAGUAAACUAUGGUGGACUGAGAGACAGCAGCUGGCUCCAAGUUAACCAGGAAGCAGUGGCUGAUGAGGUCAACUGUUCAAAUCUAUGUUCUACAAAAGAUGGGUCCAUCUGUUGACAUAUGAAGAAAAAUGUAUGUAUAAAUGGUUCAUAGGUUGAAAUGAGAUAAUCUGAAUGAAGGUGAGCUGAUCUUGUAGAGUUGAUAAAUACAUGUAGGGAAACGUAAAUUUAACUAUAAAUAAAAUAGCUAAAAUGUUGUGACAAGGUAUGGAUCCAUGUCAUCUAGACUGUUGUUGGUGUAUAUAAAAAUAGAAAUUCAGUGAUAGCUGUUACUGUUCAGCACAUUGUGAUAAAAAAUGAGCAGGGAUGAGUUUGGGCAUAAUUGUGGAACAUUCUCAUUGAAAACCUGUUUGGUAACAUGAAAUAUACAUAGGAUAGGGCAGAUAGGAACAUGGAAAACAAAGAAAAAAUAACUGGAUCAUUCAGAAAUCCAAAAAUUAAUGAAAAUAAUAAAUUUGUAUAUUUUUAAAUAUUUGCUUGGAAAAUGAUGUUUCAAAUUUAUUGUUUAAGCAUGUGUAUUUGUGCAUGUGUAAGUAUACAUACACACUCACAAUUUAAUUGAAAAGCUUAAUUGAUUUGUUUUUAUAUGAUUAAAGACCAAUACUGUUAAUAAAGGAUACAAGAAUGACAAGAGGUUCUGAAUGUGGGAUAUACAACAACUUGGAACUAUCAAGAAAAUCUUAUGCAACCUUAGAAGGAAAAAUUUAAAAAAAAAAAAAAAGAGAGAGAAGACUGAAUUACUGUAGAAAAAUAAAGCAUAAGACUAUGAAUCUUUGUAAUAGUAAUGGAAAAUCAAUUGAUCUUCCAACAGAAUGAAUGGAAAAUAGACAUAAUAAAAGUGCAUGUGAAAGUUGUUUGGAACAGAGUGAAAAAAAGUAUGCUACAAAUGCUUCAGAAAUGUAUGGAGUAUGAAAAAAGGGAGAGUAUGAAAAAAGAUGCUUGGUAGAAUAAUGAAGUGAAAGCUGCAAGAUAGGUGCAUAUAGGAAGAUGAUUGCUAAAAAAUUUAGGAAAUAUGUUGUAUUAAGAGAAAUAGGUAGUCAGAAAAAUAUAUAUUUAAAGAAGAGGUAAAAUUAAAAUCAAAAUAAGCAGAAAUAAUGCAGAAUGAUUUUGCUGGAAACAUUUUUAAUAAGUGAAAAACACUAAACAAGAUCCUCCAGCAGAAUGAAAACUAUUAAAAAUAAAAGUAUUGAAAUUAUUUGGGAUAAUAGUGGAAUAUAAGAAUGUGUUUCUGCCCUUUUUGUUGGGUGGGGAUAAACAAGCAAAACAUUGUGUUGAUGGAGUUGAUGAGAUUCUUAGAAAAGGAGAACAAAAGUACUGCAUGAAAAAGUCAGAGCAACAGCAAAAAGGUACAGAGAAAUAUAUACUGAAAGAAAUAAAUGUUAACUAGAUUUUUUUACACAUUGUGCCCUAAUUUGCUUGGCUAUUUCUUAUGCCUCCAGAAAAUGUAUCCACAUCAAUGUCACUACACAUCAAUGUCACUACAAUUAUUUAUAUACCAAAUAAUUAAACCACUAAAUUCUGAGGCACUUGUUGCCAUGUAGAAUCAAUCUGGUGUAGCAGUGAGCCAAUUUGCUAAUUUGGUUGGUUAAAGGCAUCAGGCUAGAAACCACGAGACUGAAUUCUAGUCUUUCCUCAGAUGCAAAGCCAGCUGAGUGAUUUUAGCCAGUCACUCUUUGUCAACCCUAAAAGGCAACAGCAAAUAAUUUCUAAAAAAUGAUGCCAAGAAAUCAUCAUGGAUAUGUCCAAGCACUGUGAUAUUACCUUGAUUCAAAAGGUAAAUUUAGCUGUAAUAAUGGAAUUCUUUUUUGUGUUGUUAUAGACAAGAUCUAUAUUUGCAUCAGCAUCACAGAUAAAUAAAAGAGAUGCACCUUGGAAUGACACAGGAACUAGAAGAAUUCAUUCCUUCAUUUGAUUCAUCCACUUGUGUCCUCAGCGUAGGCAUUUCACAGAAAGUUUUACCUGUAUCAAAGAAAUAUCGGAUCAUCCGACUCACUCGCAAGCGGCGUCCCACACGGCAUUGGUUGCCUAGC